GAUGAACGCUGGCGGCGUGCCUAAUACAUGCAAGUCGAGCGAACAGACGAGGAGCUUGCUCCUCUGACGUUAGCGGCGGACGGGUGAGUAACACGUGGAUAACCUACCUAUAAGACUGGGAUAACUUCGGGUAACCGGAGCUAAUACCGGAUAAUAUAUUGAACCGCAUGGUUCAAUAGUGAAAGACGGUUUUGCUGUCACUUAUAGAUGGAUCCGCGCCGCAUUAGCUAGUUGGUAAGGUAACGGCUUACCAAGGCAACGAUGCGUAGCCGACCUGAGAGGGUGAUCGGCCACACUGGAACUGAGACACGGUCCAGACUCCUACGGGAGGCAGCAGUAGGGAAUCUUCCGCAAUGGGCGAAAGCCUGACGGAGCAACGCCGCGUGAGUGAUGAAGGUCUUCGGAUCGUAAAACUCUGUUAUUAGGGAAGAACAAAUGUGUAAGUAACUAUGCACGUCUUGACGGUACCUAAUCAGAAAGCCACGGCUAACUACGUG
rnacentral:rRNA from 1 species